UGCAAGUCGAGCGGAACGAGUUAUCUGAACCUUCGGGGGACGAUAACGGCGUCGAGCGGCGGACGGGUGAGUAAUGCCUAGGAAAUUGCCCUGAUGUGGGGGAUAACCAUUGGAAACGAUGGCUAAUACCGCAUGAUGCCUACGGGCCAAAGAGGGGGACCUUCGGGCCUCUCGCGUCAGGAUAUGCCUAGGUGGGAUUAGCUAGUUGGUGAGGUAAGGGCUCACCAAGGCGACGAUCCCUAGCUGGUCUGAGAGGAUGAUCAGCCACACUGGAACUGAGACACGGUCCAGACUCCUACGGGAGGCAGCAGUGGGGAAUAUUGCACAAUGGGCGCAAGCCUGAUGCAGCCAUGCCGCGUGUGUGAAGAAGGCCUUCGGGUUGUAAAGCACUUUCAGUCGUGAGGAAGGUAGUGUAGUUAAUAGCUGCAUUAUUUGACGUUAGCGACAGAAGAAGCACCGGCUAACUCCGUGCCAGCAGCCGCGGUAAUACGGAGGGUGCGAGCGUUAAUCGGAAUUACUGGGCGUAAAGCGCAUGCAGGUGGUUUGUUAAGUCAGAUGUGAAAGCCCGGGGCUCAACCUCGGAAUUGCAUUUGAAACUGGCAGACUAGAGUACUGUAGAGGGGGGUAGAAUUUCAGGUGUAGCGGUGAAAUGCGUAGAGAUCUGAAGGAAUACCGGUGGCGAAAGGCGGCCCCCUGGACAGAUACUGACACUCAUAUGCGAAAGCGUGGGGGAGCAAACACGAUUAGAUACCCUGGUAGUCCACGCCGUAAACGAUGUCUACUU
rnacentral:rRNA from 1 species